rnacentral:rRNA from 1 species
AUUGAACGCUGGCGGCGUGCCUAAUACAUGCAAGUCGAGCGAAGGGGGGACGGGUAAGUUACACGUGGAUAACCUCAUCUAAGACUGGGUUCACUACGGGAAACCGGAUCUCAACCGGAUACUAAAUGAUGGUUGCUCGCUGCAUUAGCUAGUUGGUAAGGUAACGGCUUACCAAGGCGACGAUGCAUAGCCGACCAGAGAGGGUGAUCGGCCACACUGGAACUGAGACACGGUCCAGACUCCUACGGGAGGCAGCAGUAGGGAAUCUUCCGCAAUGGGCGAAAGCCUGACGGAGCAAUGCCGCGUGAGUGAUGAAGGUCUUCGGAUCGUAAAGCACUUUUAUUAGGGAAGCGGUACCUAAUCAGAAAGCCACGGCUAACUACGUGCCAGCAGCCGCGGUAAUUC